CAUGCUACAUUUCACUGCCCCAUUGACAAGAUGCGAUAUUUGUUUAAACAAUGACAGUCCCAGUUGUCUCAGACCAACAUUUCAAUUAAAAUGAUCAGGAAUUGACUUCCGGCUGAGCAUGUAAGUGAGAAGGCACGAGUGGAGUGAGCUCCCGAGCAUUUUAUCUUUUAACUGUACUUUUCAGGCAACCUGAAUCUUUUCUAAGACAUUUGGUGCGCUCCUUUUCAAUUACUCGGUCCACGACUAUAACCAGAAAGGAAUUAUGGCUUCUGAAAGACUACGGAAACCUAAAUCUUCACCGAGCACGACGAGUCAUGGCGACAAGCUACCGCUGGAUUUUGAAAAUCUCCGCAACACUUUAAUAGCGAAGCUAACAUCUACCAUCGCAGUUCAGGUGAAAGCAGCUAUUGACUCUGCUGUGGCCCCAGUUGUUGCGUCGUUUGAGAGUUUUAAAUCGGGUCUUGAAUCACAAGGACGGCGUAUUGACGAGCUUGACCAGCACCUGAACGAUUACAGUGACCGCAUUGUAGCACUGGAACAGACGGUGCUGAAGCUAACUUCGGCUAACAAACAACUCACCGAGAAAGUUGAGGAUUUAGAGUCCCGCUCGCGGCGCUGCAAUCUCCGGGUCAUCGGUAUUCCGGAACGAGAAGAAAGGAGCGAACAUUUAUGUCUAAAUUUUUCCAGGAUGUGCUCGGAUCAGAAAUCUUUCCGACUGCUCCAUUGCUGGAUAGAGCGCACCGCAUUGGCCCCGUGCCCUCGGAGGAACAGCGAGAGAAUCACAGGUCCAGAGUGAUGAUUGUGCGGUUUCACUACUUUCACGACAGAGAAAAAGUUGUUCGACGAGGGAAUUGGAAUCAACUUUUCCAUCAGGGCCGUAAGGUCUUCAUCUUUCCUGACUUCAGCCCCAGCGUCGCUAAGAGGAGAGCGGCCUUCGCUGCGGUGAGAAACAGCUUGCGUGAGAGAAAUGUGCGGUCUUCUCUCAGAUACCCUGCUCGCCUUCGGAUAGACCUCGGUGAUGAGACGCUACAAUUCGACUGUCCCUAAAAUGAUCAGGAAUUAAGGUCUGCCUACCUAAUUGUGAACCCCAUAACAGAGAAACAGAUGCUGUUUAUGGAAAACUUGUUUUAAUCACAUUUCACUGAUCUCAGUGGUGGAUUCAGAACAUUUUGACUGUUCUCUGGUCAAGGUGUUCUAUUUCUGUCUGAAUUUAUAUUUUCUAUCACUGACAAUUUUCAAGACUGAGUACCUCAUUCCUUAAUAGCACAGCAAAACCUACAACAUAGGUUUAUAACAUACAUUUUUGCAGCAUUUUUUUUUUUGUUUGAAAAUAUAUUGCUCUGUUGCAGUGUUUAACACUAUCCUGCCCUCUGUCAUCUUUGUGUGAUUUUACUCCUCCUGACUAUCAGGCCCUGUGUCAAAUGUCAAAAUCAAGGCAAGAAAAAUCUGCUGAAGCUGUCUAUGGUAGCGUUUUACUGUUUGGUUGAGUUCUGAAGCAAUCUGUGGGCCUGCAUUUGAUUAUCUGCAUGUUAGUAGGUCAGACUGUUUUGAGUGAAUUGUCCCAUCUUUUAAGGUAUGUGCUGACUAAAGCAGCCAUCAGUAUGAGAAUCUGUCCGAUAUAGUACUUUGUAUGAUGUAGAAUAUAUCCAUAAUAAAUCUCCUGUUUUCAUGCAGGAAGCAAACGACCCACACAUUCAUCUAUAAAUUAAUGUUUUCAACAACUAAAAAUUGUGGCAGAACCAAAAUAGUACAUUGAUGUAAUGCAUGCUUAUUUGUACAUUAUCCAACCAUAACUCAAUAUAAAGGGUUUUUUUGUUUGUUUGUUUGUUUGUUUGCUCCUUUUUUUUGCCUUCGAGUUGUUGGUCAAUAGCUAUGGUUUCAUGAGCACUUCACAGAGAACAUUUUAUGCCACAAAAUAUUUAAAAACAUAUUUC
ensembl:lncRNA